UACGUAGGUGGCGAGCGUUGUCCGGAAUUACUGGGUGUAAAGCGCGUGUAGGCGGGAGGCCAAGUCUGCGGUGAAAUCGCUCGGCUCAACUGGGCGGGGUCCGUGGAAACUGGUCACCUGGAGGACGGUAGAGGCGAGUGGAAUUCCCGGUGUAGUGGUGAAAUGCGUAGAGAUCGGGAGGAACACCAGUGGCGAAGGCGGCUCGCUGGGCCGGACCUGACGCUGAGACGCGGAGGCGUGGGGAGCGAACGGG
rnacentral:rRNA from 1 species